rnacentral:rRNA from 1 species
AGAACGAACGCUGGCGGCAUGCCUAACACAUGCAAGUCGAACGCUCUUGGGGCUUCGGUUUCGAGGGAGUGGCGCACGGGUGAGUAGCGCGUGGGAACCUGUCCUGUUGUGGGGGAUAACCGAGGGAAACUUCGGCUAAUACCGCAUGCGCCCCGGUGAAAGCCGGGGGAAAGAUUUAUCGCAGCAGGAGGGCCCGCGUCGGAUUAGCUAGUUGGCGGGGUAACGGCCCACCAAGGCGAUGAUCCGUAGCUGGUCUGAGAGGAUGAUCAGCCACACUGGGACUGAGACACGGCCCAGACUCCUACGGGAGGCAGCAGUGGGGAAUCUUGCGCAAUGGGCGAAAGCCUGACGCAGCGACGCCGCGUGGGGGAUGAAGCUUCUCGGAGUGUAAACCCCUUUCGACCCGGACGAAACGCCCGUAAGGCUUGACGGUACGGUAUAAGAAGCCCCGGCUAACUACGUGCCAGCAGCCGC